rnacentral:misc_RNA from 1 species
AUUGCUUCAAAAUAAACAUUGUUGCAAUUGCUUGAAUCAUAACACAUGAGUCACUUAUGUUAAUGUUGAGAAAUAGCGAUGGUGAAAACUUGCAUAGAUGAAUCCGUUACGAUGUCAUUAAUGGUUAUAUUGCAACAUGAUAAAACGAAUAGUAUUUGCAAAUCAUCAUAAGAAAUUUAAUUUAUCAGAAAAUCAAUUUCCAUUACUGUAGAGGUUUGCUAUAUAACAUGUUAUUGUCACCGUGCUAAUGAGCAAUCUUCCCAUUGCCAUGCAGCCAGUACAUCUACCAACAAUUAAGAGAGCUUGCAAGGCUAUCAGUUGCCUGUUUGACUGCAAGGCGAGAUAAGCAGAAGGAGUUUCGGGCGAGAACCUCCGCAUUAUUGGAACAUGUUGAUGUUUGUGACGUAGCUGAAGCAUCUGUAAACAAAAUGGCCAAGUUAUCUAGCGAGGAACGAGCUCUGUUUCCUCUCAGUGACAUAGACUCCGUUGUGAAGUUAUUUAGAAUUCAUUUGGCGAAAAACAGUGAGCCGAAUUUGGCGAUAUUGUCAAUAAUUAUUGGUUACAUUGAAAACACACUGACGUGCUCGCGGGGCGGCUCGGAACCCACUCCAGAACUUGACGAUGACUGUUCAGGCAAACGGUCAGAUGACCACCGUGUUUUGCCAGUUGUGGAUUAUGAAACAGUGGAGGCCUUGCAUCAGAGGUUUUUGGCAAUUAUCAAAGCUCAUGUGGAUGUCACAGCCUUUGGGUCACCUCGCUAUGGAACUCGAGAACUUAUCAAGCGGAUAUCAGAUGUUGUCUGGUGUACACUAUCCAGCAGUUACUAUAAAGAUCGAGCACAUUUACAGUCUAUCUACAGUUACAUGACAGGAGCCAAAUUAGACAGUUCAGGUACAACUUUAGCUGUUGUUGCUGCAUGUCAAGCUCUUGGUUACUAUGAUGUUCAUCUGGCCCUGUCUGAGGACCAUACAUGGGUUGUCUUUGGGGAGAGAGGAGAAGAAACUGUUGAAGUAACAUGGCAUGGGAAGGGAAAUGAAGAUAAAAGAGGCAUUCCUGUAACAGAAGAAGUGUAUAGCAAAUCUUGGUUAUAUGUAAACGGUCGACCCGUUAUCAGUAACAGGCAUAUGGAGCUUCUAGAAACUGGGUCUAGAGGGUAUCGUCUGAGGAAGAAACUGUGACUUAUGAAGACCACAAUGCAGUUACAUUAUGAAUGGGCAAGGCAAUAACCUGAAUGGACAUCAGACAUCUGGGAAAAGGUGGUGUUUUCUGAUGAGUCAACUUGAUGAUCAUAUCUAAACUGUCAUGCAAAGAACUGGAGAAGAAUUCAAGCCAGAAUGUCUGAAGAAAACCGUAAAUUUCCUCAAAAGGUCAUGGUAUGGAACCCAUAUAGCUACAUGCACAAGUCGUUUGCGCAUUGUUGAUGGCAUUAUGAAUGAGGAUAAUUAUGUGAAACUUGCCUCAAACUCAAACAAGAUAAUGGUAUGCAGAAAUACCCUGGAUUUUCCAGGCAGACUCUGCUCCAUGCCAUAAAGCAAAGAAAUUAAAAAUAUGGUGCAAACAAAAUGGUGUUCAGCUGCUACUAUGGCCAGGAAAUUUACCUGAUAUGAACCCAAUUGAGUUUAUGGGACGAACUGAAAGGUGAAAUAUGAAAAAUAAUAAUAACAAAUGAAUUUAAACUCAUUGAUUGUCUAAAGCAGAGAAUCCAGAGAAAAUCAAAUAAUUGUGUAGUCAUGUUUAGCAAAGGGUGGUCAAACAAAGUACUGAAAUAAAAUAUGUAUUCGGAUAUGACAGAAUCAAAAUCUGCUUUGAAUUCUAAA